rnacentral:rRNA from 1 species
AAUCAACGCUGGCGGCGUGCCUAACACAUGCAAGUCGAACGAGAAAGUGGAGCAAUCCAUGAGUAAAGUGGCGACCGGGUGAGUAACACGUGACUAACCUACCCUAGAGUGGGGAAUAACUUCGGGAAACCGAGGCUAAUACCGCAUAACAUCACGAGGGGCAGAUCCUUGUGAUCAAAGGAGCAAUUCGCUCAAGGAGGGGGUCGCGGCUGAUUAGUUAGUUGGCGGGGUAACGGCCCACCAAGACAAAGAUCAGUAUCCGGCCUGAGA